AUUGAACGCUGGCGGCAGGCUUAACACAUGCAAGUCGAGCGAGCGGCGGACGGGUGAGUAAUGUCUGGGAAACUGCCUGAUGGAGGGGGAUAACUACUGGAAACGGUAGCUAAUACCGCAUACCAUCAGAUGUGCCCAGAUGGGCUUAGCUAGUAGGUGGGGUAAUGGCUCACCUGGGCGCCGAUCCCUACCUGGUCUGAGAGGAUGAACAGACGAACUGGAACGGAGACACGGUCCAGACGAAUGCGGGAGGGAGCAGUGGGGAAGAUUGGACUAUGGGCGAAAGCCGGAUGCAGCAAUGCGGCGUGUGUGAAGAAGGCCUUCGGGUUGUAAAGCACUUUCAGCGAGGAGGCGUUACUCGCAGAAGAAGCACCGGCUAACGCCGUGCCAGCAGCGGCGGUAAUUC
rnacentral:rRNA from 1 species